rnacentral:tRNA from 1 species
GGGGUCGUAGCCUAGCCUGGUAGGGCGACAGUGCGACAAAUCACCGCAAAGGGCUCCAGAGGUCGCUAAACUUCUGACUCAGGGAUGAUGUAAGUUUGGAGCUGCAGUGACCCGUAGGUCGCCGGUUCAAUUCCGGUCGGCCCCA